UGUAACUGAUAUAUCGAAAGAUAACUGUGUGUCGAAACAUAACUGUGAACUGAAAGAUAACUGUUGUAGUCGAAGGAUAGCUAGCAUAGUCGAAAGGUGACAUAUGAUCGAAGGAUAACUGUGAACCGAAAGAUAUUAUGGAUUAUGAACAUACUUUGAAUGAUGGAAUGUGUGCUUGACUAAAUGAGUAUGCCAUGCCUAGUGAUGAAUGUUGACACUUGUAUUCGUGUUCACUAGCUGAUGAUUAAAUGUGAAAUGAUACGUGUUGGGCUCGUAUGCAAACUGAUUGUUAUGUGUAACUAUCAUAGGGUUUGGUAAAUCACCGUUGUGAAACGAGUAAUUAAUCCUACCGAGCAAACCAAGGUCCUUAGGUACUUGGAACGCAGGAACUUGCUGGCUGGAGGGUGCGAGUGGUC
rnacentral:lncRNA from 1 species